rnacentral:rRNA from 1 species
CACCUGCGCCACAAGUGGCAAUCACGUUUAUUGGGCCUAAAGCGUCCGUAGCCGGCAAUGUAAAUCUUUUGUGAAAUUGUUGUGCUUAACAUAACAACGUGCGGGAGACACUGCAAUGCUUGGGACCAGGAGGGGUCAGUAGUAUGCCUUGGGGAGCGGUAAAAUGUUAUAAUCCAAGGUAGACUACCAGUGGCAUAGGCGGCUGACCAGAAUGGCUCCGACGGUGAGGGACGAAAGCUAGGGGAGCGAUCCG